rnacentral:rRNA from 1 species
UACGAAGGGGGCUAGCGUUGCUCGGAAUUACUGGGCGUAAAGCGCACGUAGGCGGUCUUUUAAGUCGGGGGUGAAAUCCCGGGGCUCAACCCCGGAACUGCCUUUGAUACUGGGUAUCUCGAGUCCGGAAGAGGUGAGUGGAAUUCCGAGUGUAGAGGUGAAAUUCGUAGAUAUUCGGAGGAACACCAGUGGCGAAGGCGGCUCACUGGUCCGGUACUGACGCUGAGGUGCGAAAGCGUGGGGAGCGAACAGG